rnacentral:rRNA from 1 species
CUACGGGACGCAGCAGUGAGGAAUAUUGCGCAAUGGAGGCAACUCUGACGCAGCCAUGCCGCGUGCAGGAAGAAGGCCUUAUGGGUCGUAAACUGCUUUUAUUUAGGAAUAAACCCCCGAACGUGUUCGGGGCUGAAGGUACUAAACGAAUAAGCACCGGCUAACUCCGUGCCAGCAGCCGCGGUAAUACGGAGGGUGCAAGCGUUAUCCGGAUUUAUUGGGUUUAAAGGGUGCGCAGGCGGGCUAUUAAGUCAGUGGUGAAAUCCCGGGGCUCAACUCCGGAACUGCCAUUGAUACUGAUAGUCUUGAGUUUGGUUGAAGUGGGCGGAAUGUAGCAUGUAGCGGUGAAAUGCAUAGAUAUGCUACAGAACACCAAUCGCGAAGGCAGCUCACUAAGCCAAAACUGACGCUCAUGCACGAAAGCGUGGGGAUCAAACAGGAUUAGAUACCCCGGAGUC